CAAGUCUUAUAGUCAUAUGAAUGAUAUUAAAUUGCAAAUUUAAAGGUGAAUAAAAAUUUUAAGGCU
rnacentral:tRNA from 1 species